GACGAACGCUGGCGGCGUGCCUAAUACAUGCAAGUCGAGCGAAGUUUUUCUGGUGCUUGCACCGGAAAAACUUAGCGGCGAACGGGUGAGUAACACGUAAAGAACCUGCCUCAUGGACUGGGACAACUAUUGGAAACGAUAGCUAAUACCGGAUAAUAGCAUUAACUGCAUGGUUGAUGUUUAAAAGUUGGUUUUGCUAACACUAUGAGAUGGCUUUGCGGUGCAUUAGCUAGUUGGUGGGGUAAAGGCCUACCAAGGCGACGAUGCAUAGCCGACCUGAGAGGGUGAUCGGCCACACUGGGACUGAGACACGGCCCAGACUCCUACGGGAGGCAGCAGUAGGGAAUCUUCCGCAAUGGGCGAAAGCCUGACGGAGCAACGCCGCGUGAGUGAAGAAGGAUUUCGGUUCGUAAAGCUCUGUUGUUAGGGAAGAAUGAUUGUGUAGUAACUAUACACAGUAGAGACGGUACCUAACCAGAAAGCCACGGCUAACUACGUG
rnacentral:rRNA from 1 species